rfam:Aedes aegypti strain Liverpool supercont1.42 genomic scaffold, whole genome shotgun sequence.
UGCCCAGCAACUUCUAUUCCUACCUCCUAAUGGUACUAGCCGGGGUACGAGUAACCUUGGGGAAGA